rnacentral:rRNA from 1 species
GAGCACGUGGUGGGUUUGUAAGUCAGCUGUGAAAGCCUUCUGCUUAACGGAAGAACAGCAGUUGAAACUACAGUGCUUGAGUGCGGGAGGGGAGAGUGGAACUUCUGGUGGAGCGGUGAAAUGCGUAGAUAUCAGAAGGAACGCCGGCGGCGAAAGCGGCUCUCUGGCCCGUAACUGACGCUGAGUGUGCGAAAGCUAGGGGAGCAAACGGGAUUAGAUACCCCGGUAGUCCUAGCCGUAAACGAUGGGCACUAAGUAGAGGGGUUUU